rnacentral:rRNA from 1 species
ACAGCUCACUGGUCUAAAUAAGGGUUCUUGCGCCGAAAAUGUAACGGGGCUAAAGCCAUGCACCGAAACUGAGGGCACUAUUUAUAGUGCGGUAGCAGAGCGUUCUGUAAGCCUGCGAAGGUGUGUUGAGAAGCAUGCUGGAGGUAUCAGAAGUGCGAAUGCUGACAUGAGUAACGACAAUGCGGGUGAAAAACCCGCACGCCGGAAGACCAAGGGUUCCUGCGCAACGCUAAUCGGCGCAGGGUGAGUCGGCCCCUAAGGCGAGACCGAAAGGUGUAGUCGAUGGGAAACGGGUUAAUAUUCCCGUACCUUGGAUAGCUGCGAUGGAGAGACGGAGAAGGCUAGGUGAGCCGGGCGACGGUUGUCCCGGUUUAAGCGAGUAGGGAGUGGACUUAGGCAAAUCCGGGUCCACAAUCUCGAGACGCGACGACGACUGCUCAUAGAGCGGGAAGUCAUUGAUGCCAUGCUUCCAGGAAAAUCUUCUAAGCUUCAGGCUAUUCGAGACCGUACCCCAAACCGACACAGGUGGUCAGGUA